rnacentral:lncRNA from 1 species
CGGACACUGCACGGGCUAACUCCUCAGGAUCCAUUGCCCCCAGAUGCCCUCCUAGUGUGAGAAGAAGCUCUCGAUCCCUGCAUAUAGCUCUGACACAGUCAGCGGGAGUAUGAUGACUAGCUGGAUGAGUCGAAAACUGUGAAGACUGUGUGCUCCCCGAGCCAUAAAUGGAUGGGCGAGUUCUUCGGCCUUGACCCUUAACAUAAUUCUUCUUCACAAUAGAUGCUCUCUCCCACAACUCCUGGUCAAUAUG